rnacentral:lncRNA from 1 species
GAGGCCCUCCGACGCUCAAGUCAGAUUUUAUGGCUCAGAGUAGUAUAUUUAGGCAAGAGUUACAGAAAGAAUAAAAAUGGUGUCCAGGAAGGAAAAGGAAGAAGAAGAGAGCCCCCUCUGCGUGGCCUCUAUCGUGAUAUAUAUAUCUGUCUCUCUGCCACAAUGCUAGCUGUCUUCUGUCGCCUAGCUCCGUAUGUAUGGAUGUGUCAGGCGCCUGCUCCAUGCGUAACGGCCAUUAAUUCUCCUCUGAUACGUAUGAUUCUCCUCUGAUACGCAUGCGGAAGGACCUACCAGCGGGGCAUCUUGGUCAUUUUCCCCUUUCCGGGCUGGGUUGAAUGGUAGGGCUGAAGUGGAGCCUGGUGGGGGCCUGAUUACUGGGCCGAGAGGUUUGGGCCGGUUUGAUUGAGGAGUCUAGGCGGAGUCCGGCCCUGUGACUGAGCGGGCUGGACCUGGCUCUCGAGGGGAAUAUUGAAGCCUUCGGAUCAUGGACUGUUUUCAUGGGCCUGGCCUUUAUACCGGGGUGAAGAAAUCCAGCGAUCAUCAAA